UUAAUAUUGAAAAAAUCGUUGUCAAAAUCAGAACCAUUUUUCAUUCAAGGCUCAGAACUGGCAGCUCCGACGCAAUCGCCAAACCUGAAUUUUCCCAGUUUGUCAUACAGCAGUUUAAGAACAUGUACGCUUCUGUGCAGAAAGCUUUACUUGCAGGUGACACCAACCUGGUGAAGCUGUUCCGUUACGGAUUGGACCAAAGCAUUUUGCUUGGACGUACGCCGGACUUUUCGUCACCAAAAGGCCAGAAGGACACAAAAGACAUUCCCAAACCAGAUUACCAAACCAUCAAAUCUGAAAUUGACGACUUGUGUGACGAACAUCUUGGAAAUCCAUUUCUGGAUGACAUGAUCCAGGAAUUUGCAAAGAAACUGACUGAUCAAUUAUACUCAGAUGUCAUGAGGGAGUAUUUUAGUAAAGUUCCCUCUCCUCCAAAUGAAAACUGGCUGUCAGAUUCUGACCUCUCCAUAAAGAAAACUAGAGACACCUUUGGGGAGAUCCAAAUUUGCCCUGAAGUUUUCUAUGCCAGAACUGAAGACGAAGUUAGGCUUUUCCUUGGAAAAUGCUUUCUUUGGGUAAAGACAGAAGAAAUGGAGGGGAUAAGUGAAGGAGACAACGUGUGCAGCUUAGUCUCGAAGAUCGAUGAUCUGGUGGAAACAUUGUCAAGACAAGCAAGCCCAGAAGCCGGUGUUCAGAAUUUCUCAAUGGAGGAAAAUGAACCGGAUGAGCAUCGUUUUCAAGAACUAGGGCCGAGCACUCCCCAACCCCAAAAUGAACAAGACCUUUCCCAAGAAUCAGGGUCAGACAGCAAACCAUGUACAUUGGAGGAAAAUGCUGACCGGUCUGCAUCUGUCUCUGGUGAUCCAGUUUUAUCUUUUGAAAAGAUUCCGUUUGAUCUGCCCAGGAAAAGAGAAGAAACAUUUGAUGAGAACCAACAUUUGGCUUUCUUUGUAAUGUCCACAGUGUUGAACUGUUCAAAGAAAAGAGGCGGACCCCUGACGUCAUCAGAGAUAAGACGGAUCUUAUCCAAUCUGUCGGGAAAGAAAGUAAAGAAACUUGCAGACCUGCCUAAAGAUGAAAAAUUAGCAAAAAAGAUCAUUACAGAUAUCCGCAAACAACUGAGAGAGGAGUUUGGCUCGGAUCAAGCGAUAUACAGUGAAAUGACAUCAGACACUGUUAGUCCAGUUGAGACUGUAGUGUUAAAAUAUUUGAGAAGUCAUCUCCCAAAACCCCGAAACAGUAAAACUGAUGUCUUCUUUGGGGGAUUUAGAAACUUUUUCAACGGCCUGUUCCGAAAAAAGAAAUCCUCUAACGGCCAGUAGAUGAAAACUACAGGCUCUGUUUUUUUUUGUUUUUUUUUCUUUCUUUCUUUCCAUCCAUCCAUCCAUCCAUCCAUCCAUCCAUCCAUCCAUCCAUCCAUCCAUCAGGUUUUCUCCAGGUGUCCAAAGCAGCGGCAGACCUGAUGUCGUACUGCGAUGCUCAUGCCAAAGAAGACCCCCUGUUAUCACCGGUGCCAGCAUCUGAGAACCCGUUCAGGGAGAAGAAGUUCUUCUGCUCCAUUCUGUAAACUC